GGGGAUUUAGCUCAGUGGUAGAGCACUUGCCUAGCAAGCACAAGGCCCUGGGUUCGGUUCCCAGCUCUG
rfam:Rattus norvegicus chromosome 20, whole genome shotgun sequence.